CGGUGGUCCAGUGGUAUAUGCAAUGGGCUAUCAAUUGGCUGGCGUGGGUUCCAUUCCC
rnacentral:tRNA from 1 species